UACAGAGGGUGCGAGCGUUGUCCGGAUUUAUUGGGCGUAAAGAGCGUGUAGGCGGCCAUACAGGUCAGCUGUGAAAACUCGAGGCUCAACCUCGAGACGUCGGUUGAAACCGUAUGGCUAGAGUCCGGAAGAGGAGAGUGGAAUUCCCGGUGUAGCGGUGAAAUGCGCAGAUAUCGGGAAGAACACCUAUGGCGAAGGCAGCUCUCUGGGACGGUACUGACGCUGAGACGCGAAAGCGUGGGGAGCGAACAGG
rnacentral:rRNA from 1 species